GGAGUUCAAAGUAAUCUGCCUGUGACAUCUAUCACUACCUUGAUUUCUGGGGUGGAUUCAAUUGACCUAGCCGGCUAGUCAGGUAUACCCUUCCUCCUUCUUCACUCCAUAUGGAUCACUGCUGAAGAUGCACUCUUGGGGAAAGAGGACAUCCUGCCCCAACAGAAAAGGACCCCUCUUCAUUUAAGAGUGCACAGCAACUAUGCUCCCCUCGUAGAAUCUACAAAUAAGCUCUCAAGAAAGCACAUCUUCAGAGCAAUAUAAACGAAGAAACCAUCAGCCACAGGAAAGUGU
rnacentral:snRNA from 1 species